GUCUACUGUUGAAUCCACAACAUCUCCUGGCCCUAGUUCUGAUGGAUUGAAUCGAUCAUCUUCUUGGUUUGACAUGAGUGGAGGUAGGCGUUUACCUGUGCCUUUUAGGACUCCUCCUGUCAGUCCCCCCCAGUCCAGUUUCUUAAGGGGAUUGCGAAGAGUUUAUUCUUUAGACUUCAGGCAUCGCCCAAUGAACUCUCAAGACUCAGGGUCAGCUGAUCCCCUCUUGGGUUCUGGUGGAUCUUCUAGAGCUUCAGAAUGCAGUUCUAUUCCUCAAUCAACCAUUUAUAAUUGGAGCUGUGGCCACUUCUCAAAGCCACUUCUUUCUGCAGAUGAUGAUAAUGAAGAGAACAUUUCUAGGAGAGAAGAGAAGGAGAAGUUAGCU
rnacentral:misc_RNA from 1 species